CAAGCUUGAGUCUCGUAGAGGGGGGUAGAAUUCCAGGUGUAGCGGUGAAAUGCGUAGAGAUCUGGAGGAAUACCGGUGGCGAAGGCGGCCCCCUGGACGAAGACUGACGCUCAGGUGCGAAAGCGUGGGGAGCAAACAGGAUUAGAUACCCUGGUAGUCCACGCCGUAAACGAUGUCGACUUGGAGGUUGUGCCCUUGAGGCGUGGCUUCCGGAGCUAACGCGUUAAGUCGACCGCCUGGGGAGUACGGCCGCAAGGUUAAAACUCAAAUGAAUUGACGGGGGCCCGCACAAGCGGUGGAGCAUGUGGUUUAAUUCGAUGCAACGCGAAGAACC
rnacentral:rRNA from 1 species